rfam:Salmo salar isolate Sally breed double haploid chromosome ssa07, whole genome shotgun sequence.
UGCACGCAUGACUAUAUGUCGCUUUGGAUAAAAGCAUCUGCUAAAUGGUAUAUA